rnacentral:rRNA from 1 species
UACGUAGGGUGCAAGCGUUGUUCGGAAUCACUGGGCGUAAAGGGAGAGUAGGCGGGAAAAUAAGUUAGAAGUUUAAUAUAUAGGCUUAACCUAUAAGCUGCUUCUAAUACUGUUUUUCUUGAGUAUUGGAGAGGGAGAUGGAAUUCCAGGUGUAGCGGUGGAAUGCGUAGAUAUCUGGAAGAACACCAGCUGCGAAGGCGGUCUCCUGGCCAAAUACUGACGCUGAUGCUCGAAAGCUAGGGGAGCAAACAGG